AUUGAACGCUGGCGGCAGGCCUAACACAUGCAAGUCGAGCGAGCGGCGGACGGGUGAGGAAUGUAUGGGGACUGCCCGAUAGAGGGGGAUAACUACUGGAAACGGUAGCUAAUACCGCAUACUAUCGGAUAACCCAUAGUGGUUUAGCUAGUAGGUGAGGUAAUGGCUCACCUGGGCGACGAUCCCUAGCUGGUCUGAGAGGAUGAUCAGCAACCCUGGGACUGAGACACGGCCCAGACUCCUACGGAGGAAGCAGUGGGGAAUAUUGGACAAUGGGUGCAAGCCUGCUGCAGCCAUGCCGCGUGUAUGAAGAAGGCCCUAGGGUUGUAAAGUACUUUCAGUAGGGAGGCGUUACCGACAGAAGAAGCACCGGCUAACUCCGUGCCAGCCGCCGCGGUAAUAC
rnacentral:rRNA from 1 species